CUUUGAGAAAUAUCACGGGCAAGGAAUAUUGAAAUUGAAAUAUGCAAAUUCUCGAGGAAUUGGUGGCUGUUUAGAAAAUAAAAUUACUAAUUGUGAGCACAUGUAUCUAGCUAUGGAAACAAGUGCAGAUCAUAACAUGUUAACUUUUAAGUUUGCGGGAUAUAAAAGCAUUGUUCCCUUCUGAUAAGAAUCCCUUUCCCUUCUACGUUGGUUUUAGAAACAGACACACAGAUGAGAUCAACUACCUCAAGGUUGGAAUACCUAAAAGGAAAAUCUUUGCCAUCAAUCCAAAGCUGAGGGUCCAUUGGAAACAACCUCUCUAUCUCUACGAGGCAGGGGUAAGAUAUGCGUUCAUUCUACCGUAACCCCACUUGUGAGAUUACACACAAUAUAUCAUUAUUGUUGGGCCCUAAAUUUAUGUUGCUGACGCUCCGGAUGUCAAAUGUGGGGUGUGCUAAGAUGUCAGGGUGCCCCAUAUUGGUUAAGGAAAUGUGAUAUUGUCUCAUUAUAUGGUUUGGACAAUUCUGAACUCAUGACUCGGCUUUUGGAUUUUCAGCCCAAUUUCUUAAGGGAUGUCAUGGAAGAUUCACAUAUAGCAGCAGAUGGUUAUACAUAUGAAGGCAAUACAAUAAAAAGAUGGUUGUACAGUGGAGACAAUACUUCUCCGAUGACAAACCUCAAGCUCGAUACCUGUGAUUUGAUUCCCAAUUAUGAUCUUUAUUACACAAUUCAGGAAUGGCAGCAACAGUCCUGAAACUCAUUCAGGUCUAUAAUGUGUUCUACAAAUAAAAACAGCUUCAAAGAUGAACUAUAUACUGAUAUAGAAAGUUAGUCAUGUCUCGUGGUAGUUCCACCGAGUUAAUACUUGGAUUUGAGCUAUUUAAACUUGUCAGGUAAGUAUAUAAGUAUUACUACAAUACUGAGACGUACAUAUUUUAUCACUAUGU